rnacentral:rRNA from 1 species
AAUGAACGUUGGCGGCGUGGAUUAGGCAUGCAAGUCGAGCGAGAACCGUAGCAAUACGGGGACAGCGGCGUAAGGGAGAGGAAUACGUGGGUACCUACCCUCGGAUUCGGGAUAGCCAUGGGAAACUAUGGGUAAUACCGAAUAACGUCUCCGGACCAAAGGUGUGAUUCCGUCCGGGGAGGGGCCCGCGUCCUAUUAGCUAGUUGGCGAGGUAACGGCUCACCAAGGCGAAGAUGGGUACGGGGUGUGAGAGCAUGCCCCCGCUCACUGGGACUGAGACACUGCCCAGACACCUACGGGUGGCUGCAGUCGAGAAUCUUCGGCAAUGGGCGCAAGCCUGACCGAGCGACGCCGCGUGCGAGAUGAAGGCCUUCGGGUUGUAAAUCGCUGUCAGAGGGGAGGAAAUGCCGGUGGGUUCUCCCAUCGGUUUGACCUAUCCUCAGAGGAAGGACGGGCUAAGUUCGCGCCAGCAGCCGCAGUAAUAC